rnacentral:rRNA from 1 species
GACGAACGCUGGCGGCGUGCUUAACACAUGCAAGUCGAACGGUAAGGCCCUUCGGGGUACACGAGUGGCGAACGGGUGAGUAACACGUGGGUGAUCUGCCCUGCACUUCGGGAUAAGCCUGGGAAACUGGGUCUAAUACCGGAUAGGACUCCUGGCUUCAUGGUUGGGGGUGGAAAGCUUUUGUGGUGUGGGAUGGGCCCGCGGCCUAUCAGCUUGUUGGUGGGGUAAUGGCCUACCAAGGCUACGACGGGUAGCCGGCCUGAGAGGGUGACCGGUCACACGGGGACGGAGAUACGGGCCAGACUCCUACGGGAGGCAGCAGUGGGGAAUAUUGCACAAUGGGCGCAAGCCUGAUGCAGCGACGCCGCGUGGGGGAUGACGGCCUUCGGGUUGUAAACCUCUUUCAGCUAUGACGAAGCGCAAGUGACGGUAGUAGCAGAAGAAGGACCGGCCAACUACGUGCCAGCCGCCGCCGUAA